rnacentral:rRNA from 1 species
ACCUGGAUAUGGAUUCUUCACGGUAACGUAACUGAAUGUGGAGACGUCGGCGUGAGUCCUGGGAGGAGUUAUCUUUUCUUCUUAACAGCUUAUCACCCUGGAAUUGGUUUAUCCGGAGAUGGGGUNUUAUGGCUNGAAGAGCGCAACACCUCUGUUGCGUCCGGUGCGCUUACGNCGGCCCUUGAAAAUCCACAGGAAGGAAUAGUUUUCAUGCCAGGUCGNNC